AUACGGAGGGUGCAAGCGUUACUCGGAAUCACUGGGCGUAAAGCGCGCGCAGGCGGUCUUUUAAGUUGGAUGUGAAAGCCUACGGCUCAACCGUAGAACUGCAUCCAAAACUAUUAGACUAGAGUGUGGGAGAGGAAGAUGGAAUUAGUUGUGUAGGGGUAAAAUCCGUAGAGAUACCUAGGAAUACCAAAAGCGAAGGCAAUCUUCUGGAACACUACUGACGCUGAGGCGCGAAAGCGUGGGGAGCAAACGGGAUUAGAAACCCCAGUAGUCC
rnacentral:rRNA from 1 species